rnacentral:rRNA from 1 species
UACGUAGGGUGCGAGCGUUGUCCGGAAUUAUUGGGCGUAAAGGGCUCGUAGGCGGUUUGUCGCGUCGGGAGUGAAAACUCAGGGCUUAACCCUGAGCCUGCUUCCGAUACGGGCAGACUAGAGGUAGGCAGGGGAGAGCGGAACUCCUGGUGUAGCGGUGGAAUGCGCAGAUAUCAGGAAGAACACCGGUGGCGAAGGCGGCUCGCUGGGCCAGUUCUGACACUCAUCCGCGAAAGCGUGGGGAGCAAACAGG